GGUACGGGAGAGGCGUAGGGCUGCUCGCCGCUAGGGCCGGCCUUCCCGCCUCGUUCCUUCGGGGCCCGCUGCAGGCGGUGACAGAUCCCUGCUCCCAAAUCCAAGCCCUGGUUCUUUCGCGAGGUACUCCCGUGGAGCCCGACGUGAGCUCGUCCCCUCCCCGGUUUGCUCUGUGAGGGACUUCUUGACUCCCCAGGUCCUCGGUGCUAUUUCUUCUAAGAGAAGCUGAACUUCUAACACACAGGGUUCAGGAGGACAACAUUCUGCAUGUGUACAAAUGGUCACCAGAUAAUCUCCACAAGUUACUGAAGAUGCCCUCUGACUCCUGGCUUUUCAUCAGCAAGAGACAUGGUGGAGUGAGUGAUAAACGAGUACUGCAUGUUGAUCUUUAUUAUCUUUGAAGAAUACAUCCUCGAGGAGCCUGCUAGAAAUGAACGCACUUACUUCUAAAGACAGCCGGUUAGUUUGUACCGAGAAGCAGCUCAAUUACACAAGAAAGCGUUUGGUGUGAGAUUGUUAGAGAAAGUGAAGUACAAAGGUAGCGUAGGAAGGCUUGCAGUUGGUCUGUGUGCCCGCCAGGAGGCACGGCAAGCUUGGGCUGCAGCUUGUUCAUAGUGCUGAGCAGAUCAGUAACGAAGGGAAGCAAAAGUUUUCCUCUGGUUUUUGCAUCCGGAAGAAGGAAAUUGAGAGAUUUCUAAUGAAUAUAUAGAAUAAAAAUGGGAGCGUGGAGAACUGGCAAGAAACUGGAGUAAUCAGAUGCAUGUGUGUUGAAACUAUCCUCCAGCCAAGGCUGUGAAUUGAAAUACACUUUGUUGCUGUUGUUCACUUUCAUAAAUGUCACAGUUGGUGUGACUGAAAACAAAAAUAUUGAUCAGUGCAUAAAGCAAUAAAGUGGCUCUUCUUAAGGUAUACAUAAGCAGCUGUGUAAGAGAACUUUCCAAAUUAGAUACCUGUGUGCACAUGUGGAAAAGGACCAAGUUCUGGUGCUGCAAACAUUUAUGCACGUGAAUCAUCAUAUCUAUUAUCUAUCAGUAUAUAUAUAUAAAAGAUUAGAAAAAGAAAACCCACACAAAGCAGACACGGACUUACCAAAAGGCACUGCACGUUUGGGACUGUGCAGCAGUCUGGUUUGGAAUAAGCUUAUCAGUUAUGUUUUGUCUCCAGUGGUGUAACUGAAUUAGGAGAAAUGAUCCCUUUCUCUGCCAGCCUAGGAGCAUGCAGAUCGCAUCUGGAACCUGAACAGUGGUGUACUCAAAGCUGCCACACGUUACAAUUUCUAUAACAUUUUAAUCAAAGCGCUCUUUCCGUCAUUUCAAAAUCAGAUGGUAAGUGAGGAAUUGAGCAUCAGAGAAGAAGCAAGCAAAAAGUUCUUUUCCCAGGCUUGAAAAGAAAAGAAAUAAGAGCACAGAAAGGAAAUAAAGAGAACCCCAAACUAUUAUUAAAGUCUCAUGAUUGUAUAUAUUUUUUUAAUUGCCAGUCUCAUGACUUUCUGGGAACUGAUUUAUUGAAAGCCUUGGUUUGGCAAUUCUGUGCUUGGCUAGCUUGGCCUUUGCCCAAGUCCCCUUUUUUUCUUGGCAGCACUUGAAACAGUUGAGCUGUGGCCCAUGCUCCUUCAUAAUCCAAGAUUGCUGUGUGCAAUGAAGAGCCCUUCAGCAGAGGAAAUGAGCACGGUGACCCCAAGCCCAGCUGGCUGCAUGUGCUGUGGGGGGCUGCUCCCCGGCACUGCCCCCUUGGUGGGCUCAGCGCAUCUGGCGCUCUGCAACUGGUGCAGAAACUCGUGUUUAUUUUAAAUCCCGUUGGUUCAGCUGGCAGUAACCCAACCGCUGGAAGCUCAGUUGUUUCGAGAGAGCUCAUCUGAUCUUUCCAAUUAUUUUGCAUUUGCAUGAGCUGCUGUACAGCAGACAGACACAGCGUGCAGCCGUCUCCUGCGGCAGCUCACGUCCCGCUGGAGCAGUGCCGCAGCAGUGCCAGGCAUUAGUGGUCGCUCAGCGAGCUCAGCAGGAAGGCAGCAAUAACACAAUGCUUCCAAUGUGCUUCACAGGCUUUGCCAGUCCUCUCUCAUUUCAAGGCAGAGCAUUGCAGGUGUAUAGAGAGUAUAGGUUUGUUUCUCUUGCACUGCUUUUAGGGCUUUCAGCCAAACUCUUGGAACACGUUGGGGUUAGUAGCCCAUAGCAGUACGACUGCUGUUCCAAGCUGCUGAGGUAGCACUCUGCCCUGUUACCUUUUAACGCACUUAGGUUUUGUAUAUACAGAAUCACGCAGUACUAAGGCUUUGCUUUGAACUGGCAGCUGUGAAGUUAGCAGCAACCAUGCCAGGACAGCAGCACAGAGCCUGGCUGACCAGCAUGGUACUGGGGCCCUGGGCAUCCCCAAGUGAAGGAGUGCCCAGCUUCGGUGUUUAUGCCCUGUGUGAUUAAGAGUGAUAAUUUAGUAAUCCUCUUAAGAGCAAAUGUCUCUUAAAGGCUUGCUGUAAGUUCCCGGUCUCACUGGUUGUCUGCAGCUGUUAUUCUAGCAUUGGUGCUUGUUGCACUUGAUAGAGCUAUGUGUAGGCUGAUGUCUUACUAAGAUGGUGGAAGCUUGAACCAUUCGCCUAUAUAAUGAAAAAGCAAAUGCUUUUCCAGAAAUUAGUGGCUGUUAAGCAGAGGGGAGGUAUCUCCUCAGCUGACAUUGUUGUAGCUGUUGCAGACCUGGUUGUCUAUAGAACCUGGAACAGGCAAUUAUGUAAUCUGAAUGUGUUUCCUUUUACACCUCUUCCUGCCCCUCUGCUCUGCAGUGCUGAAGCCUCACCUGCAGUACUGUGUCCAGAUGUGGAGUCCUCAGUACAGGAGAGACAUAGACCUGUUGGAGCAUGUCCAGAGGAGGGCCACAAAAAUGAUCCAAGGGAUGGAACACCUCUCCUAUGAGGACAGACUGAAAGAGCUGGAGCUGUUCAGCCUGGAGAACAGAAGGCUCUGAAGUGACCAGAGAUCAGCCUUUCAAUAGCUAAAGGGGAGCUACAGGAAAGGAAGGGGACAGACUCUUUAGUAUAGUCAGUUGUGACAGAACAGGGGGAAAUGGUUUCAAGCUUAAAGAGGGGAGAUUUAGGUUAGAUAUAAGGAAAAAGUCUUUUACAGUGGGGGUGGUAAGGCACAGGUUGCCCAGAGAUGUGGUGAAUACUCCAUCCUUGGAAACUUUUAAGGCGAGGCUGGAUCAGGCCCUGGGCAACCUGAUCAAGCUGUGCAUGUCCCUGUUCAUUGCAGGGGAGCUGGACUAGAUGGCCCUCAGAGGUCACUUCCAACUCUAAGGAUUCUAGGAUUCUGUGAUUCUCGUGAUGCUGCUUUAAUAGUUCAAAGGGUAUGUAUGAAACACUAGAAUUUCCAUCAAACAUAUGAAUAGUUUUGUUCUAAAGACUUGCUCCCACUGCACAGACAACCACAAUGCUAUCACAGAACAGCCUAAGUAAAAACUCAAGUUUUUACAUGUACUAUUACGAAUACCAUAUUUUACUGAAUCAAAAAGUCAUAGGUUCAAACACAAGGACACCGAACUCUCUGCUUUUAUUUGAUGCUUGUAUUUAAUAAUUAUGGAGGUGACUAUCCCUCUGUACUUGCCACUGGUAAGGCUGCAUCUCAAGUACUGUAUUCAGUUUUGGGCUCCUCACUACAGGAAAGACACCGAGGUCCUGGAGUGUGUUCAGAGAAGGGCAGUAAAGCUGUGAAGGGUCUGGAGCACAGGGCUUAUGGGGAGUGGCUGAGGGAGCUGGGAUUGUUCAAUCUGGAGAAGAGGAGGCUCAGGGGAGACCUUAUAGCUCUCUGCAACUGCCUGAAAGGAUGAGAUGGAAUGGGCUCAAGUUGCACUGUGGGUUGGGUGGGGGGGUGUUCAGAUUGGUUUAUAGGAAAGAUUUCUUCUCAGGAAGAGUGGUGAGGCAGUGGCACAGGCUGCCCAGGGAGGUGGUGCCGUCGCCAUCCCUGGAGGUGUUCAAGAAGUGUGGAGAUGUGGCACUGAGAGAUGUGGUUAGUGGGCAUGGUGGGGCUGGUUUAUCAUUGGACUGGAUGAUCUUAGUAAUCUUUUCCAACCUUAAUGACUCUAUGAUUCUAUUUGAUUAUAAAUACAAUAGAAAGCAGAUACAGCAGCACCCCUGUACACCAGAGCCUGACCUCUGGAUCUGUUUCAGAGGAAGAAUGCAGAGCUUUCAUUGAAAGGAUACUGAGAUACACUCAUGCACAUUGCAUGAGAAACCAAGCCCACCCACAUCCUCAUCUGCAGUGCGCAUCUUCCUCUGCUUUACGAGAAAAAAAAUCUGGAAGAAAUCCCAUGUUCUAAUUUUUUUGCUAGAGCUCUUACAUCUUGUGUAAAGAAGGGUAAUGGUGCCAGCUUAGUUUAGGGUAAGCAGUAUGUUGUAAUCUGUCUUGCUUAAUUUGCUGAGUUAUUCAUCUUUCUUGACGCACAGAUUUGUGAGUGGCCUCGCUCACUGAAUAGGAAGAAUACAGGCCCUGUGGUUUAGAUUUCACUGAACAUGGAAAAAUCUAGAUGGCCAGUUCUGCAAACCAAAAAUGUGUGUGAGCAAUUCUUCAAAUACACCAGGACUGCUAGUGAGACUCAGCUCUUGUGAGGCUAACUUUGCUGCCUAUUUUAGCUUACUGCAAAAGAAUGCAGUUAACAUUUGAGUAACAGGUUACUUCAGGUGCUAUACAAACAUUUUUGAAACUAAUUUCUAAAUAUUUUUAUAGACAAAUUAGCAGUUUGGGUAUCUUAAACUGAUAAAGAAAAAUGUCAGCAAAUAAAAGUAUCUUCCAGGGAUGUUGAAAUGUGAUGAAAAGCAAAUGACAUCUGUCAUACUAACAUCCUGAAAAAUGCCCGAACUGUACAUACAGAGUGCUCCAGAGGCUCCCGUCUUAAUGAAGAUAUUCCAGCAGCAUUCUCAGCAGCUGCACUGGUCACAGUGGCAUAAGCUCUAGCAGAAACUGAAGUAGAGAGAUUUAUUCUACCAUUUAAUACCCAGUCUGAAAAGAAAAGGCAGGAAGAGUUAGGCUAUGCCAAGAGUUAGGCUGUGACAAGGUGAAGAAGUGAACACAGAAUGCCGUCCAUCUCAGUGCAGAUGGCAGCACAACUACUACUUUUACUUUCAGUAUGUGGAUUAAAAGCCCCUAUGUAGGUGUUGGGCAAAUCUUCAUUUUGCUUGGAAAAUAACUGUAACAUUACAGACUGUUGCUGUAUUUUAGUGUAUGUGCUAUGUCUAGCAGGACGUGGUCUUUCAGUGUUACCAUAGAACUACUAAUGAAAAACACCCUUAUGUAAAAAAAAGUUAUCUUCUGCCCUGCCACAUUAGCAGUAGUGUGACUUGGCUGCUAUUGAAAGAUGAACUUACCUUAAAAGCUGGAUUCUAUUCUUCCAUAUACAUUAGUGGAAGUAGUGCCAUCACAAGAAUAGAGACAAUGUGAAAAACAGCCUUUGUAAAUGCAAAGGACUUUAAAGAAUUUGGGGUGGAACUGGGACAGAGCCUUCCAUGAGGACUGGUACCUCUCUAAGGGCCUUAGCAGCUGGAGAAUGUAUUUUAAGUUAUAAAAUGUAAUUGCUAAGAAGAGCUGUAAGCAGGAAUCUAAUUCAACAUUUGCAUGGGCUGUUGUAUUUGGGAACAAGGUUUUUGGAGCCCUAUUAGUUGUACAGUAACACCUGAAAUGGGUCUCUGCAUAAAUGAAAUUCCCUCCGGCCUAUGUUGUCUAGAACUGACCUCCUACAGAACUGAAGGACUUUCUCACCAGUUGUGUAACUUGUAUUUCUUACACUCUCCUGAAGGGAACUAAGAAUUGACCUUUCAGAAAGAAAGAGUUUGGAGCAAUUAUGUGCACUCCAGUAGUCUCUUUGAAACUUCGUUUUAUAGAAUUAAACCUUAGAGAUUCUUUCUCCUGUUUUUCCUUGAGGCAACUAUAGUUUGAUCACUGACAUGCUCUCUCUGUGGGCUAAACCUAGUUUUAUUUUGAAGAAAAUGCUGAGCUCGUUGGAGCAUGUAACAUGCCAUACUGCAUUAUGUUCAUUUAGCCCAGUUGUGCACAUCUAACUGUUGCUGAUUCCCAGCGCUUCUGAGAGGAAGCAAAGAAAACUCAAACCCCAACGUAUUUUCAACAGAAUUGGGGUGAUGGAGAAUUCAUCCUAACUUGUUUCAACCUAGUGUUUCAACCUGUUUUUCAGUGCCUUUAGCAUCAAUAUCCCGAAGUACUAAUUGAGGACAGGAGAAUAUUGCACUUUCUCUGAGACCCUCACUGUGUGACCUCAGUGCCAUCCAGUCUCGCAGUCUAUCUUGUUCUUUGAUGAAAAGAUAGCACUUGGCUCCAAAUAGACUAGUUUUCAACUUCAUAGUCUGCCUCCUCUUGUACUACAAGACUAAGAAAACUCGUAAACCGUGUUCUCUGUUUUUACGUUUGUGAGCCCUAUGCGAGAUCUUGACCCAGAAUUUCUAGGGAAUAUUUACUAAAAAAGGACCUAAGUAAUAGCAUGCAUGCUAUUUAGAAACAAGAAAUCAUGUGGUGUAACAGGACAGAACUUUGAAAGGAGGAAAGCAAAGGAAGGCCAGUGGGACAGCAACGACUCUUUUCCCAAAGUAGUAAUGUCUCACUCCAAUUUAUAUAAAAGAAUAAUCUCUUACAAGUAAUUUAGAGCUGUCCUCUGGUUUCUUAGGGCAGGCGGCAGAUCCUUACCUCCUUCAGUAAUGCUUUCUUUGCUAGUACUUUCUGUCAAGUCCAGUGAAUGACCAGCAGCAGCUUAUGCUGCUGUAUGCUGAAAUGUCACCGCUUAAUUUCAGUUAGUCGCUUCCAAUCACCGGCUGUCCUUUCCUGCUGACUGUCCUACCUGUUUUUGCUAUUUGUUAAUCACUUAUUAGUGAUGCGCUUUUCAUAGGGAAUCACAUACGAAGACACAAGUAAUGCUUGUUGCCCAAGGAAGAUUUUUUACAGGAAAGAGCUGGUUUAAUUUAUUUAUUUUCUUGUUUGUUCUUCCUCCGAAGCCUCGGGCUUGCAUGUUUGAAUCUCUUCUUAUUUAUUUCAUUUCUUAGGUAAAAAGUUCUAAUUCAUUAGAUCCUUUUUUUUUUUUUUCUUUGUCCAUGCCCUUCAUGUCUCCAAAUGUUGUCUAAUUCUGCAGUCCUUUAGGCUCCUGUCCUAGGAUGGGGAGUGAGAGUGGCUUGGUGGGCAGCUGGCAGCUAUCCUCAGUUAGCCUACCUCUGGUGAUCAGGUCUGUGCACAUUUGGGCCCAGGUUGUGUGAUUUCUAUGUAUAUCAGUCAAACACCUCGUUGAUCAGAGCUACAGACUGUACUGCCUAAAUUAAUAGCUGUGUUUUUUUCACAGAACAGUUGAAGCUGGGAGGGACCUUGUGAGGCCAUCUUGUACUAUGCCCCACUCAGGCAGGGUGACCUAGAACCAUUUUUCUGGAAGCACUAUUGUUACCACAUCAUGUGCAAGAUGCAAGUCAUCUGUACUUCCUCUACCUUGUGUAAACUUCAUUUGCCAUUGUGCUGCCUUUUCAGGGCUGCUGAAAUUCCUCCAGUCUUUUGCAGGCUGGCAAUCGAUAUGAGGCUUGCGUGAGGGCUUAGCUGGAGCAAUGAGGAACAAAAUGCUCAACUAUACUUAGGUGACAGGAUAUCAUACAGAGAAAGAAAGGACACACCUUCAAAUUAGCAAAUGUGCAAGUUAGCAAACAUCCAUCUUUGUGCAAAGCUUUAGUGUUACGAUGAUGACCAAUCAGCAGGGCAACCAGGUUAACCCUCCUCCUGGUCUUUAGGUGGGAACAAGAAGAAGCAUGCCUUGUUUAAAAAGAUUUAGAUUCAUGAAACAACUUACCUAUUUUCGUAAUUUCAACUUCAGCAGCACCUGAAGUACCAAAUCUCAUACAAUCAUAGAAUCAGAGUUGUUUGAGUUGGAAGGGACUGUUAAUGUUCACAUAGUCCAACUCCCCUGUAACAAACAGGGACAUGUACAGCUCGAUUAGGUUGAUCAGAGCCCCAUUCAGUUUGACCUUGGGUGUCUCCAGGAACAGGGCAUCCCCGACCUCUCUGGACAAAAUGUUCCAGUGCUUUUUCCUUAUAUCCAGUCUAAAUCUCCCCUCUUUGAGUUUGAACCCAUUUCCCCUUGUCCUUUCACAACAGAACCUGCUAGAGUCUGUCCCCCUCUUUCUUAUUACCCCCCUUUAGAUACUGAAAGGCCACUCUCAAUCUCCCCAGAGCCUUCUCUUCUCCAGGCUGAACAGCCCCAGCUCUCUCAGCCUGUCCUUGUGGGAGAGGUCCUCUGUCCCUUGGAUCAUUUUUGUGGCCCUCAUCUGGACACUUUUUAACAGGUCCACAUCUGUCUUGUACUGAGGACUCCACACCUGGAUGCACCUCUGCAGGUGAGGCCUCAGAGGCACAGAGCAGAGGGGCAGGAUCACUCCCUCACCCUGCUGACCACGCUGCUUGGGAUGCAGCCCAGGAUACAGUUGGCUUCUGUAUCUGUCCCUGUACUCUCUUUCAUUCUGUUCACCCCGAGCUUCGUGAAUGACUUAUCAUAGAAAGUCAUUAACAGAAUUCAGACCCUUAAGGAAUCUAAAUUAAACUAAUUACUCAUUUCAAUUGUAUCAUAUUUCAUUGCUUUAGUACUCACUAUAUCCUAACUCAUUUGGUUCAACUGCCAGCAUUCUUUAAGGAGAUCCAAAGAUUAUUAUCUUUUAAUAAUUUUUCUAGAAGUAAAUACUGCUAAAUCGUUCAGCCCUUCUUCACACACGGUGAAACGAAGAAGAGCAGCUUUUAAAAAUAUUAUUUUUAACAUAAAUAAAAUUUUUCCCUGCGCCAGGGAAGGUUCAGGCUGGACGUUAGGAAAUACUACUUUUCUGAAAGGGUGGUCAGGCACUGGAAUGGGCAGCCCAGAGAGGUGGUGGAGUCACCGACCCUGGUGGUGUUGAAGGAACGUUUGGAUGUUGUGUUGAGGGACGUGGUUUAGUGAGAACCAUUGGUGAAGGGCGAAUGGUUGGACUGGGUGAUCCUGUGGGUCUUUUCCAACCUUAGCAAUUCUAUGAUUCUAUGAUUAUUGGAGUAGCAGCACACUAAAUUUCUUAGCAUCUUAGAAUUGUCUUGCCUUUCUCCCUUUCCUUCCUUGUAUUUCUCCUUGCUCAACUCUACUUAAGGCUGAUUUGUUCCAAUAACAUUAAAUUGCAAUAUAAUACCUGUACAAGAACAUUUGCCCUCCUAAGUCCAAAUUACCUUCCAGACUCAAAAUUGCAGCUUUGUAGGUGUGCUAAUGAUAAAGCGUUGAGAUAUUCUAGCUUCUGCAAAUGAAGUCCUGAUACAUUCAUCACUUGCAGUGAUAGGGAGGUGAAGAAAAUAAUUCCAUAGGGGUACUCACGAAAGCAAUAGAGCUGUAGCUGCUUUUAAUGACACUGCUUUUUCCUUGCAUCAGCUCAGCCUUUUUGUUCUUCAAUUCCUUCAGAAGCCCAGAACGUCUGCUGACUUGCUACUUUCUACUCUGUGCUAGCAGAUUAAUUCUUAAAUAAACCACUGAUUCCAAAAUAAGAAAGGAAUUGUAUUUAUUUCUACUUCUUUACCUGAAGGUCAUGGUGUGAUUUUUUUUUUUUAAGUUACUGCUUUUUUUUUUCUUUCAGCAAAACUUCAUCAUCAAGGGCAACACACAAUUCAGCUGAAAAUAACAUCACCAAAAACAGCCUUCUAUUUUCUUCUAACUAGAACACUGUCUUAGUAAGAGUGAGCUGGGGAGCCUCGUGUAGUUUCCCCUUUGAACAAAUGAUCGGGUUUUUAUUUUGGUUCCAUGGGCACUUUUUCCAUCUUAUGUGAUGCUGGCAUAUUAUCAAAAUAUUGAGAAAUACUACCCUGUAAUCCAAAAACACAAAACUGAACAGUCCACUUCAGUUUUCACUUUUCUAAAUAUAUGUAAACAUUCACUGAAAUGCUCAUGUUAGAAAAGGAGCCUUAGCCACUCUGUUUGGAAGGGGUUGAGGGGAAAGGUAGACUUCCUUUUUGAAGUUCCAGCACAUCAAUUUUGGUAGAACAGGCUGACGACAGUCUUGAGACCGUGUUUGGAACUGAAAACUCUUAACUCUCACAGCCUUCAUUACUUCUGUUUCUUAAUAAGGAAGAUGCCAAGGAAGUAAAAUUAGAAGGGUACAGGACUUAAAAUACUUCAUCUCUAGGAAAAACCUCUGUAUUUUAAUAUCAUAUUGUUUAUUCACAAAAAUCGCAUGGCUGCAUCUUAGGAAAGCUUUAACAUGUAAUUUGGGGAGGGAAUGUGUUGAGAUAGAAUCAAAAGCAUUUGCUUUGGCUUUAACAGUUGUAUGUCUUUUACAAGCUUUCAGAUGCUUGCAUCCAAUUCCCUGGUAAUCAUAUUCUUUCUCUCUUUUUCUUUUUUUUGCCCAUAGAAGUCGUUCCAUCAAAAACAUUGUUGUCUGAACUGGUGCUUUUAACUCUGCCUAUUACCUUACCUCCCUCCUAUUUUAUUUCAUUACAAAUUCUUAACCUUAUUUUGCUGAAAUUAAUAUCUCCAGGGUUACCAAUGGCUUUCAUUUCCAAUGCUAUGGACCUGACCCAGACUUGGCCAUAUUACAGAUAUAAUAAACACUGUCACGAAAAAAAAACCAACGCUGUCACUGCAAAACAACCUGCACUUGUCAUAGUAAUUACAACUAUGAGUGAGAUAAAAGUGUCCAGCAGUGGCCAGCAGCAAGAACUGCAGCUAAGUGUCAGCUGUUAGAUGACAACCUUAUGUAUCAGUGAAGGCAUGUUUGGGUGACAUGACACAAGAGCAGUGACAUAAACAGAUUUGUCCCAGCUGGAGUACAACAAAUUAGACAGCUUGCCCCAACCUUAAUUGCAAAGCAGUUUAAUUUGUUAACGUGCCCUUCGUGCAUUUAUCAGCAGUUACAAAACCAUACAGUGAUAACGGUAGUUAGAAUAAUGGAUGAAAUAUAAUGAAUGGGUGAUCCAUAUUUUGUAUGCAAAAUUUAUUAGCAAAUUGCUACCUCAGAGAUGCAAGUACUGAAUCACUUAAUAUGAAUUGUUAAGGUCUGUAUUUUACACAGUUAAAUGAGCACGCUCCUCUGCAGUGAAUUUAUUAUGUUCAGUCUUGAGCUGAAAAUAAAUAAAUAAAUAAAUAUAUAUAUAUAUAUAUAAAAUUUGGCCCUGAGAUAGGCUGACACCACUGCAGUAUCUUCGCUGUUGUAUCAGAGAUUAAAUACCUAUGAGAAAAACAAAGAUGUGUUAUUAGGUUAUCAUAUGUGAGGUGUCAGUGAAGCUUUCAGGCUAUUUACCAUUCACCCAGGCCCUAGACGGUACAGCGUGUCUGCUUGCAGUAGCAACAACCAUUAGGAGAAGCAGUACUUUCCUUAAGUCUUCCACUGGCAGGAACUCAAUGGACUGCAGGACAGACCUUUUGCCAACGACUGCAGAUUUUCAACAGUAAAGGUGGCUGCUGGCCAGCAGAGUCUCACUGUGAAUGUUAAAGGUUAAGCCUCUUCAGCUAGGCUAUUAAAACAAAAGGCAGAACCGCUUGACACCAAACUAGCUGCCAACACAGCAGUUCAUUAGCAGAUUAUCCUGAAUACUGUUUUACAGACAUUUUGACCAGGCUUUGGAGUCCUGGUUUGUCCUUUCUGUUUUCUGUGCUCCUGAAGAGGAGGCAGAAUCUCUCUUCCUUGCACUUCUUGUACACCGGGGCUGUCCUCCCUCAUCGUAACACCUGUGAAGGGGAAUAUCCAGCUGCAGAGCUCUGGAUAUGAUUGCCUCCUGGAGCUGAGGCACUCAGCAAUAAAUGUCUGCACAGGUGCUGCAAACUGCAACGUCAGGGCACUGCAGGACUCCUAAAUGUGCUUCACACAACUACAGCACUAGGAAAAGGACAAAUUCUUCCCAUUUGCCACAGUUUGCCUUUUGAACUUGAUCAAAGCUGAGACUGCAUCGAUAUACUCAACAAAGGGAAUUUGGAAUAUUCAGCACCAUUACUGGAAUCCUUGUAUUUUUACUGAAAUCCGGUACUUUCUGGAAUGAGAUGCAUUUAGCUUUAAAUGACAGACAAACUUAACAUCAGACAUACAAAAACUAUUACUUCAGACAUUUACUGUAAUUUAACCAAAUAUCUUAAAUAUCUAUGAAUUGGAUUCAUCUAAUGACCACAAAAUUCCUUCAGUUCCAUUCCUUUCUAGCAGAAACUUGAAGGAGCAAUAAAAGAACCAUUAUCAAUGUACAUUAAGAUAAAAUAUCCUGUUAUAUUCACAUAUUAACAAAAUAUUAAACAAUUUGGUUUUAGGCCAUACAAUUAGUAAUAGUUGAAUUAGCCUGCAGUAUUUUUUUAUGAUGUGAGGUCUGCUUCUGCAAACAUAUUAAUAGAUAAGUAUGUGUGUACUGAGUCAUAGGCACACAGUUUCCCAGAAAGAGUGGCUGGGUUCCAGGCUCAUAGACAGAUCCAUGUAUAACUUCUCACGUUAGUGGUGAGAUAUGGGCAGAACCACACUUCUGUGCAGCUGAUGGCACAAACCUUCACUGAAUUACAGGUAAAAGUGCAUUGCAUAGCAUUUAACACAAAAAAAAAAUCCUCAAAGUUACCUUUUUUUUUUUAAGUUCUCCUUUCCAAAGUUUGCUGUCCAGUAAACGUCCCUUGGAUUGUACAUUUAGCAUUAACAAAAGUGACAUCGAACCCACAGUUGGGUAUUCCCUGAGCAGUGCUUUCUGUCUUUGCAGCUGCGCUAACAAUAAGACGCAUUGGCUCGGAAACCUUUCCUGUCAGAAUCGAUUGUUGCAUUGAUUCCUCAGAUGGGGCACCGAAAGCUCAGAAUAUGAUUUUUAAUGAAGAGCUGCAUGUUGGCAUCACUCCUGGAAGAUCAACUCUUAUAUCUCGCAGUUACAGCGCUCUUAUCAGUAACUUUAUAACCCACCUCUUAAAGAACUGUGUAAUUUAAGUUGAUAUGGAUAUCUGAAAGCUCUCUUUAUUGCCCACAGCUCCUCCUGUAGUUUCAGUUUCACGACUAAAGAGUACAAACACUAA